rnacentral:SRP_RNA from 1 species
UAAGGCCCGCAACGAUUACCCGUGAACCUGGUCAGAGCCGGAAGGCAGCAGCCACAGCGGGAACAUUGUGUGCCGGGGUGUGGCU